rnacentral:rRNA from 1 species
UACGUAGGGUGCAAGCGUUGUCCGGAAUUAUUGGGCGUAAAGAGCUCGUAGGCGGCUUGUCACGUCGGGUGUGAAGGCCCGGGGCUUAACCCCGGGUCUGCAUUCGAUACGGGCAGGCUAGAGUGUGGUAGGGGAGAUCGGAAUUCCUGGUGUAGCGGUGAAAUGCGCAGAUAUCAGGAGGAACACCGGUGGCGAAGGCGGGUCUCUGGGCCGUAACUGACGCUGAGGAGCGAAAGCGUGGGGAGCGAACAGG